AUUGAACGCUGGCGGCAGGCUUAACACAUGCAAGUCGAGCGGGGGAAGGUAGCUUGCUACCGGACCUAGCGGCGGACGGGUGAGUAAUGCUUAGGAAUCUGCCUAUUAGUGGGGGACAACAUCUCGAAAGGGAUGCUAAUACCGCAUACGUCCUACGGGAGAAAGCAGGGGAUCUUCGGACCUUGCGCUAAUAGAUGAGUCUAAGUCGGAUUAGCUAGUUGGUGGGGUAAAGGCCUACCAAGGCGACGAUCUGUAGCGGGUCUGAGAGGAUGAACCGCCACACUGGGACUGAGACACGGCCCAGACUCCUACGGGAGGCAGCAGUGGGGAAUAUUGGACAAUGGGGGGAACCCUGAUCCAGCCAUGCCGCGUGUGUGAAGAAGGCCUUAUGGUUGUAAAGCACUUUAAGCGAGGAGGAGGCUACUUUAGUUAAUACCUAGAGAUAGUGGACGUUACUCGCUGAAUAAGCACCGGCUAACUCUGUGCCAGCCGCCGCCGUAA
rnacentral:rRNA from 1 species